rnacentral:rRNA from 1 species
GACGAACGCUGGCGGCGUGCUUAACACAUGCAAGUCGAACGGAGUGGCGAACGGGUGAGUAACACGUGGGUGACAUGCCCUGCACUUCGGGAUAAGCAUGGGAAACUGGGGCUAAUACCGGAUAGUGUGGGAUGGGACGGCGGCAAAUCAGCUUGUUGGGGGGGUAAGGUCCUACCAAGGCGGCGACGGGUAGCCGGCCUGAGAGGGUGGACGGCCACAUUGGGACUGAGACACGGCCCAGACUCCUACGGGAGGCAGCAGGGGGGAAUAUUGCACAACGGGCGGAAGCCUGAUGCAGCGACGCCGCGUGGGGGAUGACGGCCUUCGGGUUGUAAACUCCGUUCACCAUCGACGCGGUAGAUGGAGAAGAAGCACCGGCUAACUACGUGCCAGCAGCCGCGGUAAUUC